CUCUGCUGUAAAGCGCAUAAUACGGGCGCAAGACGUUUUUGAAGCGCGGCUGGCUGAACGACGGUUGAACGAACGACGGCUUACUUGACCGCAGUGGCUCCAAACAAGCGUCCCCGUCCGUCUGACUUACCUGAGUCACCUGGAGCUAGCUCGGCGGACAAAAACAUCACAGACAUCCUGUAGUCAACCGAGAAAAUAAUUAAGCUUCGACGCGCGUCUGGCGCUAGUGGAACUCCUCCACAAAGACUUUAUGGCCCUCCGCGACUCCCUGGAAUUUAGCCAGCAGCAGGUGCCCUGAAGGGAAAGGUGCAGUCCCUGACGGAGGAUGUCGCUCAGCUAGCGGCCGAAAAUAAAAAAUAAAAGAAGGCAUCAUCGAUCUGCAGGCCCGCAGCAUGAGGGACAACCUGGUGUUCUCGGGGAUUCCAGAACAGGCGGAGGAAAACACGGAAACCACCAUUAAAAACUUCCUUAAACAACAGAUGAAGAUUCCAUCGGCUGCAGUGGACAAGAUGGCGUUCCACCGUUCGCAUAGACUCGGAGGAAGACGACCGGAUGGCCAGCGCCGUCGACCCAUCGUUGCCAAGUUUCAUGACUUUAAGGCGAAGGAACUGGUUAAGAGCCGGGGCAGACAGCUGAAGGGAACCGACUACAGCGUCAACGACCAAUUCCCCAAGGAGAUCCUCGACCGCCGCCGCCGACUGUUCCCCAUCCGUAAGAGGUUCAUGGCAGAAGGCUGCAGGGCUGUCAUCAGCGUCGACAAACUGUACGUCAACGGAGAGCUCUACCGGGACCGGGAAGCAACUCCGUGGCUGUACUAGCAGGUGAACUGAGCGCGAUGAGGGUAAAUCCGGAUCUGGACUCCUUUCCCACCAUCAGCAGAAGAACCAGAGGAGAAGAAGCGUCUGACCAAAAACCAGAACAGGGUGGAAGCUCUGACACCACAGCAGCUGGAGGACACAGACCACAGCAUGGAGGCCUCACCGACUCCCACAACGUCUGCAGCCAUCACGUUCUGGGCUCAUCAGACUCACCAGCUACUACAGACCCUGCACCAGCAUGAAACGACUGUGUCUGAAGCUUCAGAGGCCGUGAAACUGUCAUACAAGCAUGUGUGUCCGACACAGACACCUGCUUAUGACAAUCGGCAAAGGAAAAACAAGGACAGAGCAACAGCAGAGUGAGCUCCAUCUGAUAAGACGUGCUCUGACACAGACACUGGUUGAAACAGCAGGAGAGGCUUCAGACGUGAUCGGCCCAAUAGAGCUGCAUCCUAGGAACCAGGAAAGGUCUGACAUCAAGGAACAACUGUCCCAUUGAAAGGCUUCACCCACUGGCGCUCACAUCAGACUGAUGGUUGGGGAAGGAGGAAGGUGACGGUUCUUUUUCACGUGACGUAGAAGACGCUCAGCUCUACUCUUAUCAUACGACUUCCAGUGACGCUUCUGACCUGUCCUGUACAGCACAUGUGUCUUCUGGUCCUGAUGAGAGUUCCACACGUCCCUCUGUGAAACAUGAUGGAGACAGACGCAGGACGUGGGUCCUUUCGUGGGUGGAGACUGGUGAACGACUUCUGACCCCAUGUGACGUAUUCACCUACUUUGCAUACUUUUAGAAAACUUUUUUUUAUUCUGCCUGUCAUGUGCAGCAAACAGUAAACUUGAUACCCCCACAUUCUAAUGACACACUACAUGCUUUUGUUUUUAUUUUUAUUUUUCAGAGGACGCUCUGACCCAACACUCAGCCUUACAGGAAGCACUGCUUCCCUGUGGCUCACACACAGACAUGAUGUAGGUUCGAUCAGAGGAUGUGAACCAGUGGUCAUCACACCUAAAUCUGACCACAGACCAUGUAAACAACAACACCCUCUUAAAGGAGCCAUAGAUGGCGUUACUGCAGACACCACUAAGCUACUGAAACAUUGGAUGCUACAGGCCACAAAGAGAGCCUGUCUAAAUUACAGUUUGUUCAGACAAAGGUUAUUUUCUGGGGCAUUGUUGGGUGAAAUGGAUUUGCCAUCAGCUGUAAUUACAGAGUUAAAGCAAUUUAAAACCUGCCUAAACCGUGCACGUAUAAACAGCUUAUGUCUUUUCUAGGUCUUUUUUCUUAUUAUAGGACCUUCAGUCCUAACUUUAAUGUCUUUAAGGCCCCACUCAGGGUUCUGAUGCAGACGUCUUCAUCAUCCACUACUUGUCUCACAUGGACGUCUGAGGCUGAACAAACGUUCACUGACCUCAAGCUUGCUCUUCAGUCGGCUCCUACUUUGUGUCUCCCUGAUCUGACCCUAUGCGACCUUUCACUCAAAUAGUGGAUAAGAAAUUUGGUUGUAAAACUUCUGUUCUUUUGUCCUCAUACUGUGUCUUUGAUUCUUUUGGAAUAAAUCACAUCUUUCUACAGCCCGACGGCUUAGAUGCAACACUACCUUGCUCAACAUGCUGAACGUUACUAUCAAGAGGUCGUCUUGAAGUCUGGCUCUUUGCUAAGACACUACUCUGCUCAGGCUGCAGAGUUGACUGCGUUGACUGAAGCUAUUAAACUAGCAGAAGGAGAGUGUGUUACCAUCUACACAGACUCCACAGACGUUUGUCACACGUUGGUUCUCUGUGGAAGCAUAGGAAGCUUUUGAAGUCUGAUUGCAAACCUAUCUCACAUCAUGAUUAGGUGGCUGCUUUGCUGGAUGCUGUCCUGCUGCCUACAGCUAAUGCUGUUUGUAACUGUCCGACUCACAACAUCAUUGACAACUUUGUUUGAGCCGACAUGCAGCUGCAGACGCUGCUGCGAAGGUCGCUGCCCAACAACCCCUCCCUCUCCUGAUCUUCAUUUCCCUCUCCAACUCUCUGUACCCUCUCCUCUUCUCUCUCCCUGUGCUUUAAACAUUUUCUACCUCACAGGAACGCAGACUCUGGUUCCACCUGUAGCCAUGGAGUCUGGUUUGGGCCUGAUGGCAGCCGUGCCGCCAAACACUUUUUCCCCAUAAUUCAGAUUUCCCAACAGGUGAAAACAGUCGACAGGACCAUUACACACCAUCCAACCAGGAGACUGGGUGAUCGUUAAGGAGUUCAGGAGGAAGCACUGGGACUCCAAACGGUGGCGAGGCCCCUUCCAGGUCCUUCUGACGACCCACACAAAACAAACAAACAAGCAGCCUUGAGUUGCCGACGAUGGACGACGUGUAGACUCUUCACAUCACAGGGAGUGACAGUGACUCAGACGACAUUGGGAGGAAACCUGGCGGUGAUAACAAAUCCCAAGUGUCUCUGUGAUCAGCUGAUCACAUCCUGAAGAACUCCAACCAACUGUCAAUACAUCAACACACAGGUUGGAAACAAUCUAACGCUACUGCUCAACAGGACGAAGCAGAUUGUUACGAGACAUCAAUUGUAACCAUGCUAUGUUAGACUUCAUUUUAUGUUACUUGGAUUGUUGCCUUGAUUAUAUGAUGUUUCCAUGUAACUUUACACAAUACUUUUGAAUGAGAAAAUUUCACAUAAUUCACAACACUGAGUUUAAAUAUCUUGAAGUUGACUUGGUGUUUAAUUUGCUCACAAUCACUUUAUUCACUGCUACAAAUAGUUUUUAUCUAUCUAUUAGGACAACACAAGCAGAAAUAUGCAUCAUCAUUCUGGUUAAAUCCCUGAAUCUCCUAUUCGCUCUAGACGCAAGUGUACAAUUAAAGAUCCGAAUGUAUGAAAUGUAUCUUAAGAUUAUAUGAAACAGAACCCCACCGGAAACCUAUGGCUAUCAUACAUUAAUUGUCUUUAUUACAUUACAAUCGAAUGGCCUUAGACACGUUGUUAGCUGAGAAAAGAGGCGUUUGUGUUAUGUUUGGAGACGCAUGUUGUACUUACAUCCUGAAUAACACAGAUUCUAAUGGUAUUGUGGCGAAGGAGCUCCACGGCCUUCAGAAUCUCAGCUAACUCUGGUAUAGAUUCUUCCUCUUGGAAUUGGCUAGACGAAAUGUCUGGAAAAUGGAAAUCUGUUUUCAUGUCCGCAGCUGUUUCCCUUAUCAUUGAGAUGGCUGUGAUUCUCUUUUGGUUUUGGUUUGGUUUUUGCGUUAUCCUACUGGUUAGAGGUCUCAUCAUGCGUGCGACCUCAGCAGCACUCUCGUAUCAAAUGACACAAUGCACAAUAUGUUCAAAAACCCCAACUCUAAUUCACUUAAUGACUUUGACGAUGGUCUUAGGCUAUCGGAUCACGAAAUAUAAUCUCAUACGAAUAUGAUUAUGCUCUUCUUUUCUUCACAUGCUAAUACAGAGGUUAUUCUUGUAUAACUACCCACCAAAAACAGCUCCCAACCUUUUGUCCCUAAGUUACUUGCAUUUUAUUUGAAGGUGUAUUUUGUUGUUGAGUUAAUACCCUUAUUGUUUCAUUUGCAAGGGUCUUUUAUUAUUACAGAAUGUGAUGUUGACAAUUUUUCUUCUUAGUGGUUGAUUAAUGUGUAAUCAAAAGGGGGGAGUGUUAUGGGAAAAAUUGUGUCUUCCUUUCUUCUAUGCAGUUAUUAUACGAUUUACGACUUAUGUUCUGCAAUUAAUAUCUUAUGUUUUGUCUUACUGUAUUUGACAUUUCACCUAGAUUGUUCAAUGGUUAACUCUGCCGGAUAGACUCUCAACUCUAGCUCCCAAACCCAAGGUCGGGGAGUUGUGUCUCUUUCUGUUGAGACUUGGUGCUCUUUUCUCACAGAUAGUUGGCCGUCAGCGAUGCAGGUGUGAGAAUGUAAAUAUCUUCACACACACUGCGACAGGGAGGAGAUGGGUUAGAAAGACAUUCCACCCUAGCUAAAAGAAGCUAAAGAGAGAGAAGCUAAAAGGCAGAAGCAACUUGAGGAUCGUGGGCUCUUUGCAUCACACCUUCGUGGUGUGUGCACUGAUCUCCCCAGCUGGUUUUUGGUUUGUUGAUGUGCACGAUCAACAUUCAUGCUUUUGAUUUGCUUUCCCCAUUAUUUUUAUUUUGCUUUAUUUUUAUAAUAAAUUACACAAAAGACAA